ACAAUUGGUGGUUGACUAAAUACUUUUUUUCCCCACUGUACAUCUCAUAAUUUCCCCCUGGAAUUGACUAAAUUAUAUUUCUUCACUAGGAAAACAAAUUCGACAAACAACCACAAAGACAAAAACGUGCGCCAGAGGAAUACGAAAUGAGAAGCUACUCGUUGCAAUGACUAACUGCAUAUCUUGACCAUAUGAAGGUAUCUGAGGAGGGAGCUCCAGGCAAUUUUUAAUGAAGCAUAUCUCGUCUCUCUUAUGAGAAAAAACAAUAACAGCGUAACACUGGCAGAAAAUAACAAGAUGGCUGUCUUAAGCAUGCCUUAUUCAGUCUUACAUGAACAGUCCUGGACGGAAAGAUGACUAAUUCCAUCAUGAAAGGUGUGCACAUCUUUUUUGUGUGCCGUUUGAUGUCUCUUUUAUUCAUUUUAUCAUGUCCUCCAACCAGAGGUGAUCCUUUUUGUAUUACAUAUCAUGUAAAACGCAUGCAAAUUAUUACGCAAUAGGAUGCCCAGAAUAGACUUUGUUGUUUUCCCUCAUGUCUGUGUGGCUAUUUUGCGUCCAAAUGAAUUAUGUUUUUUUAUGAAAUUGUCCUGAACUGAAAAAUACUGUUAUAUUCUUAAAAUAACUUUGUACAGCUGAUUCAUUGUCAUUAAACUAUGUUUGAUUUAGUGAAAGGAAAGUCCACUCUUAACAGCCAUUAUAGUGAAAAUGUGAUGCAAGGGAUUCAAUGUCUGGCAGUAUUUACUUGAAAAUGAUUACAGAAAAUGACUACUAUAAUCUAUCUAGUUAUAAAUAAAAUGACAAGUAAGUGUUUAUUUUUAUUUUUCAGAGUAACUUAGGAUGUCUUGUAUAUGUUGAGGUACGAGUGUUCAAAUGAUAGCAAAUACUGUAUGUAAAGAAAAAAAUACAUUUUAUAUUUCCCAACUUAAUUCAUUCAUUUUUUUUUUUAUGAAAUUGUACAGCAUGGCUAUUAUCCUAUGCAAUAUGUAUUCAUAUAUAGAUAUAUUGGGGGCAGUUUGUUUUUCUCAGUGAAGCUUUAAUAUUGUGGGAUCACUUGGAAGCUGGUAUAGCAAAAUGCACUGCUGUAGCUGCAUGACUACUCUCCUAUAAAUACAGUGUAUCCAUGUGUAUUGCAGUGCAAAUGGACCUACAUUAGGGUGGGAAUGGAAGGAGCUACGGUAUCUCUAGCCACGAUAAAACAUAUGAGACCAAUAACAUACGAGACCAAUACCUUUUUGAAAAUAAAAGGCUCCAAAAUACA